rnacentral:rRNA from 1 species
UGGCGGCGUGCUUAAACACAUGCAAGUCGAACGAGAGUUAGAUUGAAAUGAGUUUUCGGACAAAGUGAGAUUUAACGAAAAGUGGGCGAACGGGGUGAGUAACACGUGAGCAACCUGCCUUACACAGGGGGAUAGCCAUUGGAAACGGUGAUUAAUACCCCAUAAGACCACAAUACCGCAUGGUAAAAGGGUAAAAGGGAUACCGGUGUAAGAUGGGCUCGCGUCUGAUUAGCUAGUUGGUGGGGUAAAGGCCCUACCAAGGCGACGAUCCAGUAGCCGGUCUGAGAGGAUGAACGGCCACAUUGGAACUGAGACACGGUCCAAACUCCUACGGGAGGCAGCAGUGGGGAAUAUUGCACAAUGGGGGAAACCCUGAUGCAGCGACGCCGCGUGAGCGAAGAAGGCUUUCGAGUCGUAAAGCUCUGUCCUAUGAGAAGAUAAUGACGGUAUCAUAGGAGGAAGCCCUGGCUAAAUACGUGCCAGCAGCCGCGGUAAU